UAUCAACUGCAGAGAACAUGGAGAGGCACACUGGCGGAAGUGCUGCUUCCUCGUGCUUCCGGUUGGUACCUGGGCCGAAGCUAUAAAAAAUCCAUUUACUUGAAGUUGCUAUGGAUCCUCUGAGGGCUCAGCAGCUGGCAGCUGAGCUGGAAGUGGAGAUGAUGGCUGAUAUGUACAACAGAAUGGCUGUUAAAAGAAGAUAGCAGUGAUGGCAGAGAAGCAUUUGAAGAAUUGUUAAUAGAAUAAGAAACCUACUGUAAUCCAGCUACUGAGGCAAAAUAUGGAUUUCUGAAUGAAGUGCUGCUACUCAUUCCAUCAUAGUGUCAUCUGGAUUAGAAUAUUAAGAUGAGGUUAAACUAAGUCACUCAGGGUGCUUUGAGUCUGCAGUGUCCAAUAUACAAAAUUCAGUAUUGAAUUGAUAGUUUCUGUCCAAAAGUAUCGU